CCACUGGGGGUGUCCAUUUUGGACUGAGACUGACCCUUAUCACCUGAUCUAGAUCAUACUAGCGUAGGGAAGUGGCAUAUUUU
rnacentral:ncRNA from 1 species